AACGAACGCUGGCGGCAGGCCUAACACAUGCAAGUCGAGCGCCCCGCGAGGGGAGCGGCGGACGGGUGAGUAACGCGUGGGAACGUGCCUCUUGCUACGGAAUAGCCUCGGGAAACUGGGAGUAAUACCGUAUGUGCCCUACGGGGGAAAGAUUUAUCGGCAAGAGAUCGGCCCGCGUUGGAUUAGGUAGUUGGUGGGGUAAUGGCCUACCAAGCCGACGAUCCAUAGCUGGUUUGAGAGGAUGAUCAGCCACACUGGGACUGAGACACGGCCCAGACUCCUACGGGAGGCAGCAGUGGGGAAUCUUAGACAAUGGGCGCAAGCCUGAUCUAGCCAUGCCGCGUGAGCGAUGAAGGCCUUAGGGUUGUAAAGCUCUUUCAGUGGGGAAGAUAAUGACUGUACCCACAGAAGAAGCCCCGGCUAACUCCGUG
rnacentral:rRNA from 1 species